UAAGAGUUGCCCACUGCAUUUGGUAUGAAGGUGGGAGUUUCUGCAACAAUUGGUGGAGUAAACAUGAAUUAUUUAAUUCAUCUGGCAAAUUGGCGGCAUUAAUUGUGGCAAUCAAACUACGAACAUUUAUUGCAAAGGACGUUGACCAUAUAGUAAGCGGAGAACAUCGAGGACGCCAGAGACGUUUGAGGGAUGUACUAGCAUAUGUUGGACGCUAUGGAGUGCUUCGCCUUUUAAUGACU